AAAGAAACCAACAGGGAUUGCCCCAGUAACGGCGAGUGAAGCGGCAACAGCUCAAAUUUGAAAUCUGGCCCUAGGCCCGAGUUGUAAUUUGCAGAGGAUGCUUUGGGCGCGGUGCCUUCCGAGUUCCCUGGAACGGGACGCCAUAGAGGGUGAGAGCCCCGUCUGGUCGGACACCAAGCCUAUGUAAAGCUCCUUCGACGAGUCGAGUAGUUUGGGAAUGCUGCUCAAAAUGGGAGGUAUAUGUCUUCUAAAGCUAAAUACCGGCCAGAGACCGAUAGCGCACAAGUAGAGUGAUCGAAAGAUGAAAAGCACUUUGAAAAGAGAGUUAAACAGCACGUGAAAUUGUUGAAAGGGAAGCGUUCAUGACCAGACUUGGCCCGGUUGAUCAUCCAGCGUUCUCGCUGGUGCACUCUGCCGGUCCAGGCCAGCAUCAGUUCGCCGCGGGGGAUAAAGGUUUCGGGAAUGUGGCUCCCUCGGGAGUGUUAUAGCCCGUUGCGUAAUACCCUGCGGUGGACUGAGGUCCGCGCUCUGCAAGGAUGCUGGCGUAAUGGUCAUCAACGACCCGUCUUGAAACACGGACCAAGGAGUCGUCUUCGUAUGCGAGUGUUCGGGUGUAAAACCCCUACGCGUAAUGAAAGUGAACGGAGGUGGGAGCUUCGGCGCACCAUCGACCGAUCCUGAUGUUCUCGGAUGGAUUUGAGUAAGAGCAUACGGGGCCGGACCCGAAAGAAGGUGAACUAUGCCUGUAUAGGGUGAAGCCAGAGGAAACUCUGGUGGAGGCUCGCAGCGGUUCUGACGUGCAAAUCGAUCGUCAAAUAUGGGCAUGGGGGCGAAAGACUAAUCGAACCUUCUAGUAGCUGGUUUCCGCCGAAGUUUCCCUCAGGAUAGCAGUGUUGAACUCAGUUUUAUGAGGUAAAGCGAAUGAUUAGGGACCCGGGGGCGCUAUUUUGCCUUCAUCCAUUCUCAAACUUUAAAUAUGUAAGAAGCCCUUGUUGCUUAAUUGAACGUGGGCAUUCGAAUGUAUCAAC
rnacentral:rRNA from 2 species